rnacentral:rRNA from 1 species
AUACGGAGGAUCCGAGCGUUAUCCGGAUUUAUUGGGUUUAAAGGGAGCGUAGGUGGACAGUUAAGUCAGUUGUGAAAGUUUGCGGCUCAACCGUAAAAUUGCAGUUGAUACUGGCUGUCUUGAGUACAGUAGAGGUGGGCGGAAUUCGUGGUGUAGCGGUGAAAUGCUUAGAUAUCACGAAGAACUCCGAUUGCGAAGGCAGCUCACUGGACUGCAACUGACACUGAUGCUCGAAAGUGUGGGUAUCAAACAGGAUUAGAUACCCUGGUAGUCCACACAGUAAACGAUGAAUACUCGCUGUUUGCGAUACACGGUAAGCGGCCAAGCGAAAGCGUUAAGUAUUCCACCUGGGGAGUACGCCGGCAACGGUGAAACUCAAAGGAAUUGACGGGG